CAGAGACACACAGAAGACACAGAGAAAAGGUGGCCAUCUACAAGUCACCUUCUACAAGAGAGGCCUCAGAAUGAACCCAACCCUGCUGACACCUUGAUCUUGGACUUCUAGCCACCAGAAUGGUGAGGACAUAAAUUCCUGUUGCUUAAGCCACCCAGUCUGUGGUAUUUGUUACAGCAGUCACAGAAAACUAGUACACAACCCUUGAGAAACAGACGUGAACACUGCUCAUGAGCCCCUGGAGUAAAAGGGAUUCCUGUGAGCUGCCUGACUGCAGGCAGCACUGUCAGCAUCCCCAUUCCCCAGGAUCACCUGGGACCUCCCUCUUAUCACAUCGCUCCACCUCAGCUCCUUGGCAGCCAGGCCCGCAGCGGGAGGCAGAGGUCACCCUCAAGCUGGACAAUUGAAGGAGCAUUUAAUGAAGGGGCUCUUUACAAAGGUGUGGGCAGGGUUUCAGGAGGUCAGAGAGGAAUGAUGCAGCCCUUCUGUAUCCUCCCCUCACCCCAGGCCUGCAGGCAUGCGGAGAGAGUGCCCGCUGGAACCCAGGGCCAGGACAGGGCCUGUGCAGAGGAGUCCACCUUCAGCAAGAUGGACCACCAAUACUCUACGACUUAGAGCAGGAGACUGAGGAAUAAAUGCCCAGACCGUACUCCCCUCCUGCCCUCCUGGUUUCCUGCCAGAGUCUCCCCUUGUCUGAAGCCAACCUGAAGACACCCCUUGAGGACCCCUUCACUGUACUGGGACCAUAGAGGGCUAAGCCUCUGGGAUCAGUCACCUCCCUAACCUCCUGCAUGAGGAACAACUUGAACACACAUUUCAACCUGUAACAGGGUGGACAAGCAGAAUCCUUCUUCAGAAGCACAUUUAUGAAGUUCCCGCAGUAACUGGCUCAGAGAGAAAUGCUGCUGUUAACAGCUGAGAGAAAACUGAUAACCCGGAAAAUAAAGUGUCCAUGGAAAUCUCAAAUAUUGCCCAUUGUUUAAAAACAGUGUUUCACAUAAAA
rnacentral:lncRNA from 1 species